CUCAGAAGUACGAUUUACCAACAGAUAUAUUUUCCAUGUGGUUUUACCCGGAAAGAGAAUUUAUGCCCCCAUCUGAUGCUGCAACAAAUACAUCUCUUUAUACACAUCCCUUCUUCCUUUUCAUCAAACAAAAUAUUAAAAGUUGGACCUACUAUGAGCAGAAACUAAAAUAGAGUUACUGUAAACCUUAAGAAUCUCCAUUCGGGUAUCUUGCAUAAAAUCAAUUUAAGAUUAAGACCACGAAAGUGUUGGGAAUAAAAU
rnacentral:lncRNA from 1 species